rnacentral:rRNA from 1 species
AUGGCGACCCUGGGCGUGCUACUGCUGCUGCUCCGGAGGAACGCUCACCUAGAGCAGGAUCUCGACCUUCGCUUCCGCCUCUUCCGCUACUGGGACUCCCUACCCGAUGGGCACGCCUAG